AGUCUUGCUCUGUCACCCAGGCUGGAGUGCAGUGGCGUGAUCUCGGCUCACUGCAACCUCCGCGUCCCCAGGUUCAAGCGAUUCUCCUGCCUCAACCUCCCAAGUAGCUGGGAUUGCAAAUGCGCACCACCACGCCCAGCUAAUUUUUGUAUUUUUAGUAGAGAUGGGGUUUCACAAUGUUGGCCAGGCUAGUCUUGAACUCCUGACCUCAUGA
rnacentral:lncRNA from 1 species